rnacentral:rRNA from 1 species
GUUUACUAAGUGGUAGGAGAGCGUUCUAUUUGCGUCGAAGGUAUACCGGUAAGGAGUGCUGGAGCGAAUAGAAGUGAGCAUGCAGGCAUGAGUAGCGAUAAUUAAUGUGAGAAUCAUUAACGCCGUAAACCCAAGGUUUCCUACGCGAUGCUCGUCAUCGUAGGGUUAGUCGGGUCCUAAGUCGAGUCCGAAAGGGGUAGACGAUGGCAAAUUGGUUAAUAUUCCAAUACCAACAUUAGUGUGCGAUGGAAGGACGCUUAGGGCUAAGGGGGCUAGCGGAUGGAAGUGCUAGUCUAAGGUCGUAGGAGGUUAUACAGGCAAAUCCGUAUAACAAUACUCCGAGAACUGAAAGGCUUUUUGAAGUCUUCGGAUGGAUAGAAGAACCCCUGAUGCCGUCGAGCCAAGAAAAGUUUCUAAGUUUAGCUAAUGUUGCCCGUACCGUAAACCGACACAGGUGGGUGGGAUGAGUAUUCUAAGGCGCGUGGAAGAACUCUCUUUAAGGAACUCUGCAAAAUAGCACCGUAUCUUCGGUAUAAGGUGUGGUUAGCUUCGUACUAGGAUUUACUCCGAAAGCGAAGAAACUUACAACAAAGAGUCCCUCCCGACUGUUUACCAAAAACACAGCACUCUGCUAACUCGUAAGAGGAUGUAUAGGGUGUGACGCCUGCCCGGUGCUCGAAGGUUAAUUGAUGGGGUUAGCAUUAGCGAAGCUCUUGAUCGAAGCCCGAGUAAACGGCGGCCGUAACUAUAACGGUCCUAAGGUAGCGAAAUUCCUUGUCGGUUAAAUACCGACCUGCAUGAAUGGCGUAACGAGAUGGGAGCUGUCUCAAAGAGGGAUCCAGUGAAAUUGUAGUGGAGGUGAAAAUUCCUCCUACCCGCGGCAAGACGGAAAGACCCCGUGGACCUUUACUACAGCUUGACACUGCUACUUGGAUAAGAAUGUGCAGGAUAGGUGGGAGGCUUUGAGUAUAUGACGCCAGUUGUAUAUGAGCCAUUGUUGAGAUACCACUCUUUCUUAUUUGGGUAGCUAACCAGCUUGAGUUAUCCUCAAGUGGGACAAUGUCUGGUGGGUAGUUUGACUGGGGCGGUCGCCUCCCAAAUAAUAACGGAGGCUUACAAAGGUUGGCU